UCUGUAAAGGGCUGCACCAAAAUUUGUCCAUAGAAGCUUAACUGCUUCCCUAUUUUAGGGGAUUUUUCAGACUUCUGAGAAGCCAAGCCCAUCUCAGGAAGUUGCAGCAUGGUUAAAGUGAUCUCCUUCAGCUGAGCUGCAGUCGUGUACAUGUGCAGCUCCUCCAGAGCCUGCAGCUGCAGCUGGAGCACCCCAGAAUUGAGGUGAGCUGACAGGAGCUUCACAGUGACAGGGUUCAGACCAGGCUGAGGAAUAGAGCACAGCUCCAACGCCAGGAACCAGCUCUCCAGUGCACGAUGUCUGAAAAUCAAGGGAUUUGGUACCUUGUCAUUUGAAGACACUUCUGUCAUCAGAGACUCCUCAUCCAUUAAGAGAUCCCAUCAGCCUGAUGCUCCUCCUGCUUCUGCUGCUGCUCCAGCUUUAUUUCAUUGUCCCGGCACAACAAGAUGCUCAGCAGGUCCACACAGAGAUCAACAAGCUGAGGACCCAAAGUUUUACCAAGCUAUGAAAACAAAGACAUGUUGGAAGUGAAGAAAAGAGGAGGAUGGGAGCAGACAGCACUGAAGCUCUUUCAUUGCACAUGGAGCCACAUUAAUCACCUAUUCCUGCCUUCCUUCUCCCCACCACACAAAUGAAGAGGCUCAUCCUGUUUUACUCAUCAUGAAUGACAGCAAAGGUGUGAUCCAUUUGUUCUAAUUUAGUCACCACCUGCCCAGGAUCUGAGGCAGGCACCCUCAGCUCUGUUUAUUAUCAGCAGAGAGAAACAGGUACCCCCAGAGAGCAAUUUGUCUUAUCCCAAGAUGGGGGUGUCUAGAACAGGUCACAAAAAUCACACUCUGGAGAUUUUUGGGGGCAUUAAGGGAGCCUGAGGUGACUGGCUCAAACUUGGGUGCAUAACUUCUGGACAUCCCACUCAGAAUGUCCACAAGAGCUGCUCAAGUGAUGCAAUAAUUCUCACUGCAGGCUGACACGAUCUGAAUGGGACCAGCAUCUCCCAGCACAGAUAAAGUCUGGCCUGGACAGUCACAGUUAGCAACCCUGCAUUUGAUGCCUGACAUGAACCAGGAGAUAAUGCUGGGAUUGCAGCUUUGAGAGCCACCAGGUGAACUCCACCCAGCCAUCAUUAAUCAAACACACUCUGCUUCACAUCCCAAACUUUGGGGCCUCCAGGCAUGAGGCAGCAAUGCUCAAAUGUGCAGCUGAGCAUCUCUUUUUUCUGGAGCAGCAAGUUCCUUAUUGCUAGUGACAGUAAAUUAGUUACUAUGGAUUCCCAAACACCUGGUGAUCCCAGUCUAAUCAUUAACCUUCCUGCAAGGUGGGAAGGCUCCCUAUCAAAAGGAAUAAAUUUUAAAUUUGGAGCCUCACUUAAAAAAAAAAAAAAAAAAAAGAAAGAAAAAAAAAUUUUUAAAGUUUGUCAUGGUUACUCAGAGGAUUGAUUUGAGGUACUUUUAACAAAGCAAAAAAGAUGUAGGAAGAUUUUUUUUCCAACAGAAAUCCAAACACAAGACCCAGAUAUGUGGAUAAUCAUCACUGCAAUGCAAUUGUCUCUCAGGGGACACUGGUACAUCCUACAGGGCACACUGCAACAGCACAGAGCAGCUCAGGACAAGAAUUAACUAAACACACCCAGCUGCUGACACUCCUUCCCAAGAAACUCUGGUUUCUGUCCUACUGGCAGAGAGGCCUCAAGUGAAAAGAUAAAUUAACAAACUUCCAACAAACUCAGAAAGAAGAAAGAACAAAGGUGGUGCUUCUGUCUGUAAAAGCCUAUUAGUACCUCCAGAAAUCUGUCUGUACCUGUCCCACCCUGAGUUCUUCUCUCCUGCAAUCCUGCUGCCAUCCUAAUCACUUCUGAAUAUCACAGCUGCUUCUUUUACUGUUUUAUUAAUUCCCAACUCUUCACACUUCAGGUGUUGGAGGUACUGAACAUAAACUAUGUUCUGCCCUGGGAAGGGACUCUACUCUCAGCAGCAUGGAUUUUCUUUCCUUAGAAAUCUGGCUUGAGUUAAUUCAAUGUGACACCAUCACCUUCCUCCCAGCAAACAAACA